UGGGGAAUAUUGCACAAUGGGGGAAACCCUGAUGCAGCGAUGCCGCGUGAACGAAGAAGGCUUUCGAGUCGUAAAGUUCUGUUCUUAGGGAAGAAAAUGACGGUACCUAAGGAGAAAGCACCGGCUAAAUACGUGCCAGCAGCCGCGGUAAUACGUAUGGUGCAAGCGUUGUCCGGAAUUACUGGGCGUAAAGAGUUCGUAGGCGGUCAAAUAAGUCAGGAGUGAAAGGCUACGGCUCAACCGUAGUGAGCUUUUGAAACUGUUUGACUUGAGUACUGGAGAGGAAAGUGGAAUUCCUAGUGUAGCGGUGAAAUGCGUAGAUAUUAGGAGGAACACCAGUGGCGAAGGCGGCUUUCUGGACAGUAACUGACGCUGAGGAACGAAAGCGUGGGGAGCAAAC
rnacentral:rRNA from 1 species